rnacentral:rRNA from 1 species
CGCGGCCUAUCAGCUUGUUGGUGGGGUAACGGCCUACCAAGGCGAUGACGGGUAGCAGGCCUGAGAGGGUGGUCUGUCACACUGGGACUGAGACACUGCCCAGACUCCUACGGGAGGCUGCAGUCGAGAAUCUUCCGCAAUGGGCGAAAGCCUGACGGAGCGACGCCGCGUGGAGGACGAAGGCCCUCGGGUUGUAAACUCCUGUCACGGGUGAUGAAUGUGUAUGCGUUAAUAGCGCAUGCAUUGACGUAAGCCCGAAAGGAAGCACCGGCUAACUCCGUGCCAGCAGCCGCGGUAAUACGGAGGGUGCAAACGUUGUUCGGAAUUACUGGGCAUAAAGAGCACGUAGGCGGCUGUGUAAGUGUGGAGUGAAAUCCCACGGCUCACCCGUGGAACUGCUCUGCAGACUGCACGGCUAGAGGAUGGUAGGGGAGAGUGGAACUCCUGGUGGAGCGGUGAAAUGCGUAGAUAUCAGGAGGAACACCGGUGGCGAAGGCGGCUCUCUGGUCCAUACCUGACGCUGAGGAGCGAAAGCCAGGGUAGCGAACGGGAUUAGAUACCCCGGUAGUCCUGGCCGUAAACGAUGGGCACUAGCUAGGGGUCUCCCUGUGGGAUCCCUGGUGAAGCAAAUGUGAUAAGUGCCCCGCCUGGGGAGUACGG